AAACGAUGUUAGCUUGCUAACAGGCGUCGAGUGGUGGACGGGUGAGUAACGCGUAGGAAUCUACCAAAUAGCGGGGGAUAGCCCGGAGAAAUCCGGGUUAAUACCGCAUAAUCUCUACGGAGUAAAGAGGGCCUCUAUUUAUAAGCUUUCACUAUUUGAUGAGCCUGCGUAAGAUUAGCUUGGUUGGUGAAGGUAAAAGCUCACCAAGGCGACGAUUCUUUAGCUGGUCUGAGAGGAUGAUCAGCCACACUGGGGCUGAGACACGGCCCAGACUCC
rnacentral:rRNA from 1 species